rnacentral:tRNA from 1 species
AUUUGUAUAGUUUAUAAAAAUAUAGCUCUUUCAGUGCUAAGUUAGACCAUAGGUCUUACAAAUA